rnacentral:lncRNA from 1 species
AGCCAUACGUCGGCGUAAGCAGGGGAUCGUGUGCCAUCGCUAACUAGAGCCAGCGAGAGAUAAAGGGAGCCACCGCACCGGGAGUCCGCCCAGCGUCGUGGCCUACCGUGUCCCAGCCUUAACAUUCGGUGAGUACCUCUUCGAGUGAUUCGCUAUGAUCCUAGCGUAGUGUAGCACCGUGUAUUUGGAAAUUAUCGCGCCCUGGGGUAGCGAAUUUGUCACCGGAGUAUCCUCCGCCAUGGGGGCAGCGGAUCAUCGAUGUGGGGUGACUGCACUACAUGAUCAACAUGAGGAAUCUAGAGGCGAGUUCACAUUGUUCUUAUCCUAGCGUAGCACAUUUCAGGCCUUGUUCGGUUAGCUCUCAAUCCAUGUGGAUUGAGUGGGAUUGGAUGGGUUUGAAUCCCAAACAAGUCAAAGUUCUUAAGAAUUUUUUCCAAUCCCAUCCAAUCCAUGUGUAUUGGGAAUAACCGAACAAGGCCUCAGGGGGUGGGGGAAUAGUGGUCGAUGGGCCGGAUUCGCUGUUCACCAGCAUGGGUCCACUACGAUGUUGGGCGGUACCACCGCUAGGCUCUCAUUGGGUGAAGAAGACAUGCUCGAACUGUUGGAUCCUAAAGGGACGGUGUGGAUUAGAACCAAGGUACCCUUUCGCCGAUUUAGUAUCCAAGGGAUUCGAUGGAUGAAACCCUUAUGCCGGUUCAAGUGGGCGGUUGUGAGCCAUUGAUCCGCUAUCUAUUGGCUCAGGCGAGUCCAAGCCAACACAACCGAAGCAAAAUUUGUAAAGAGCCCCUCUAUUUAUUUAGAAUCAACCCGCCGUCUAUUUUCCAUUGGGUAGAAAAUAAAAACUAUAUGAAGACUUUGCAGAUUAGCCCCUGGACUUUAUGUUAGACAUGAAAAUAAAUACAAAAGUGCACAAAAACUUAGGAAAAUCAUAACUUGUCCAUUUUAAUUCCGGUUUGACCCUUUCGAGUUGCGUCAGCUUCAUAAUAAAAUUACCUACGCAAUAAUAAACACUAAUUGUGUCGUAUCAUAGACUUUUUUUAUUAGAUACUCGUUUAACUAUGUUCUAACCUAUCUAAUAAAAGUUAUUCUAUCCACAAAUAUAAUUUCACUAAAAUGUGAUUUAGUUAUAACCUAGAUUAAAAGUUGAACAAAGUUAGUUAUAUCUAUUAUCACAUGACUUAUAUUGAUAGAAUAUAGUUCCGUUGUUUAAACACCUAAAACUUCGAAAAACUAUAUCUUUUUAACCGUGAGUCCGUUUUUGGUGGCUCUCGAACCCACGAUCUCGUAGCGAUGCAUAGAAUAUUCCUAUGUAGUUCGUUCAUAUGCUUUAGUGUAAUGUUACCAUAUCCAUUAUUUGCUUGAUUGUAUGUAUUGCUACGAGUAGAAGCGAGGUCACGUGGAAUCUGCAGACCAAAUUGGAGGAGUACCUGAAGUUGCACCAAAAAGGCAAGUUGUGCCCUUGAUCACUCUUCUUUACCUAAUAAUGUUACUGUUAAUCACUGUGACAUGCUGAGAGCACCUAGAGGGGGGUGAAUAGGUGAUCCUGUGAAACUUCAAAAACUUAAGCCACAAAACUUGGUUAAUCGUUAGCACAAUAAUUGCCAAGUGGCUAGAGAGGAAUCCUCAACAAAACACAAUAACCAACAAGGAUCAAUCACAGAGAUGGCACGGUGGUUAUCCCGUGGUUCGGCCAAGACCAACGCUUGCCUACUCCACGUUGUGGCGUCCCAACGGACGAGGGUUGCAAUCAACCCCUCUCAAACGGUCCAAAGACCCACUUGAAUACCACGGUGUUUUGCUUGCUUUUUCUCAAUCCCGUUUGCGAGGAAUCUCCACAACUUGGAGCCUCUCGCCCUUACACUUGAAAUUCACAAAGAACACGGAGCAAGGGAGGGAUUAGCAACGCACACAAGACACACGAAUCAGAAUGUCAAUACGCACACAAGUCGCAACAAGAGCUCGCAACACAACUCAAUGAGUUCACAACUCCACUAGAGCUCUAUAUGCUAUCACAAUGAAAAGAACGCGCGAAAUCGAUGUCUUGGUGCUUAGGAAUGAUUGGAAGAUGCUUGGUAUCCUCCUCCAUGCGCCUAGGUGUCCCUUUUAUAGCCCCAAGGCAGCUAGGAGCCAUUGAGAGCAAUGAGGGAAGGCAAUUCUUGCCUUCUGUCGUCUGGCGCACCGGACAGUCCGGUGCACACCGGACACUGUCCGGUGCCAGAUUUCUUUCCUUAAAUGGCGAAGCCGACCGUUGGCAGACCUGGAGCCGUUGGCGCACCGGACAUGUCCGGUGCACACCGGACAGUCCGGUGCCCCCUUCUAGCCGUUGGCUCGGCCACGUGUCCCGUGCAGAUCGCGCGGCCGACCGUUGGCCCGGCCGACCGUUGGCUCACCGGACAGUCCGGUGCACACCGGACAGUCCGGUGAAUUAUAGUCCGGUAUCAUAGACUUUUUUUAUUAGAUACUCGUUUAACUAUGUUCUAACCUAUCUAAUAAAAGUUAUUCUAUCCACAAAUAUAAUUUCACUAAAAUGUGAUUUAGUUAUAACCUAGAUUAAAAGUUGAACAAAGUUAGUUAUAUCUAUUAUCACAUGACUUAUAUUGAUAGAAUAUAAUUCCGUUGUUUAAACACCUAAAACUUCGAAAAACUAUAUCUUUUUAACCGUGAGUCCGUUUUUGGUGGCUCUCGAACCCACGAUCUCGUAGCGAUGCAUAGAAUAUUCCUAUGUAGUUCGUUCAUAUGCUUUAGUGUAAUGUUACCAUAUCCAUUAUUUGCUUGAUUGUAUGUAUUGCUACGAGUAGAAGCGAGGUCACGUGGAAUCUGAACACCAAAUUGGAGGAGUACCUGAAGUUGCACCAAAAAGGCAAGUUGUGCCCUUGAUCACUCUUCUUUACCUAAUAAUGUUACUGUUAAUCACUGUGACAUGCUCAGGUUAAUUUGAUGGGACCUAAUAGGUUACCAUAGUUUUAUUUACCCCACACCUUGCAUACAAAUGAACUAUUGGGUAGUUUGGCUAUGCUCUACCUGGUUUUGGGAAGUAAUGCUAUAUGACAUAUGCUCAUGCUUAAUCAUUGUUACUGGAUUAUUUAUUGUUCAUGAUAAUAUUAUGGUGUUAAUUGGAACAUGGAGCUUAACUUGAGAUAACAGUGCUACCACAAGGGUGGAAUGGGACACCCUUGGCUAAGUAAUUAUGAAAACUAGCAAGAGAUUACCUUACCUAAGAGGGGCAAGCGGGUAGCGCGUCGUUGCAGAGUAUACUGAGGUCCUCGGAUCGAACUGUUUGUAAAGCUUUUUGGAUGAGGGAUUCAUAUGCUUCCUUCUUCCUGACACCAUAGCGGGUUUGCUCGAACUAGUGGAACUUUGUAAACGCCUCGUAGUGGAUCCUAUGGGGGAUGGAUAUCCCCCGGGUCCACAUGCGCAUGAAAACACAUCCGGGGCCACUUGGCAGGCAUCCCCCAGGGGCGUCCUACGGUGGGCCGGCCAUGAGUAACCAGGCAAAGCAAGCCCAUUUUGAUAUAGCAAAGGCCCACAUCCGAGUUAGGCGCCACGAGAGCACGAGUAUGUCGGGCGUGAUGGUUGCGCCCACCCAACAGGCUGAACCUCCGGCGAUAACUUGGAUGGGUGAGCACCGCAAUUUCCCAAGAUGUAGGAGGACAGUUUGCUACAAACCGGGAGAUAGGCGAAUGGAUUACGUUUGUCAUCUGUGCGGAGAUAGCUACCUUUGGUCGGAUAUAUAAGGCCAAGAGGCACUUCUACAAUUUUCACCUCACCUCAGCCCACCAUUCUCAUAGUCCAUGGCUUUUAAUCUCAUCUCAAUACCAAAACCAUCACAGGACGUAGCGUGUUAUGCCUCUCAUGUGGCCCAAACCUGUACGACCUUGUGUGUUUCUCCCGUCGUGCCACCGCAUAAACCAUCGAGUUACAAUCAACGAUGCCAUCCUGCCCAAAAGCAUCACGAGGGUAACCUUGUGGUGUGCGGUUGGGUAACAAACACUGACAGCUAGCAUGCCAGGUAGGGGGUGCGAUGUUGAUCGGCGCUGACUCCAUGGCAGUCAUUUUCAAGAGCAUGAUCACCUUCAGCCCAAGAGCAGUCUUCGGCUUCAGAAACAUCUCCUGUGUAGCAGACACGGAGGGGAUUCUACAUCACAUAGCGGCUCCACCUGAGAGGAAAUCUCCCUUGGGAUCGCCAAAGAAAGCUAUGGGGAGACCGCAAACUACACUAGCGAGAACCCCGCCAGUGGAGCGAUGGGGCGUGGUCCUGCACAAGGCCAAGCCUGGGAUCCCCUAGGUAACUGAGGAUCGAUUGGCCAUGGCUACUCUACCCUUAAGGGAGACCAGAAAAGGGUGCACCACCGCUCCCACACCUUUCUUCCCGUAUGUCCUCUUCAUUUAGGGGAGAGUGGAGACGUCACCCAUCUCCGACGACGAACUCACCGUGGUGGGGGAGGAGCCCCCCAGCGUGAAGCACGAUGAUUGUGGCUGAACCUCCUAAGUUAUUGGGCCCACAUGCACCUGCCCUUGUCUCAAAGACCUCAGACAGCUAUGCAUGUGCUCCAGAUAACUUAACAGGAUCCGUCUGAGUGUCCCAAGGACACCAGAUAAACCACUUACAACCAGGAUCGCAAGAUUAAGUAAACACAAAUCACACACCAACAUUUUUGCAGCGGAAUUUCUUUAUUACAAAAGUUACAAGUUACAACAAAUUUACAUUAUGUUUAUCAGAGUGAUUACAAAAAUGUUUGUCUGCAUAACUCUUCUGACGAGCUUGAGCUUUCUUCAAAUUAUGAAUUAUUCGUUGAACUUUCUCUUCUGUCUCCUUUACCAUAUCAGGCCUAAAGAAAUUUCUUUCACCAGGUUCAGACCAGAUUAAUGGAGUACGACAUCGUCGUCCAAAUAAGGCUUCGAAGGGUGCCAUCUUAAUACUCUCUUGAUAGCUAUUAUUAUAUGAGAACUCCGCUAAUGGUAAACAAUCAUCCCAUUUUUGUGGGAAUUCCAAAGCACAAGCCCGUAACAUAUCUUCAAGUAUUUGAUUUACCCUCUCAGUCUGCCCACUGGUUUGAGGAUGAUAGGCCGAACUAUGGAGCAACUUAGUACCCAAGGAUUUGUGAAGUGCUUCCCAAAACUUGGCUACAAAUUGAGAUCCACGAUCUGACACUAUAGUCUUUGGAACUCCAUGCAGACUAAGAAUACGAGCAAUGUACAAUUGGGCAUAGAUAGUAACCGGGUGAUCUGUUUUGACUGGCAGAAAAUGAGCAAUUUUCGUAAGCCGAUCAAUUAUAACCCAAAUAGAGUCAUAUCCUUUUGCGGUCCUAGGCAAUCCCACAAUAAAGUCCAUACUUAUAUCUUCCCAUUUCCAUGUUAGUAUAGGCAAAGAUUGUAAUGGACCAGCAACUUUCAUGUGUAUGGCCUUGACACGUCUGCAAGUGUCACAUCUUGCCACAUAGCGUGCGAUCUCGAUCUUCAUCUUUGUCCACCAAUAAUGUUGUUUUAGAUCAUGAUACAUCUUAGUGCUUCCGGGAUGAAUAGAAUAGCGACUAAUAUGUGCUUCAUCUAGAAUUUGCUAGCGGAUCUCAUUAUCCUUAGGCACCACUAUGCGGUUGUUAAACCAUACAACACCUUGAUCGUCUCUUCUGAAGCAGUUGGCUUUACCAGCUUCUAUUUUCUCAUGAAUGUGCCUCAUUCCCUCAUCAUUUCUUUGUGCGUCAAUUAUUCUUUGCAGGAUGACUGACUCAAGCUUCAAGUGAUUUGAAGUUCCAUGCUGAAUCAUUCCCAUGUUCAACUUCUCCAUUUCUUGGCAUAACAUAAUGUCAGAAGUCUUCAUGGUAAGGCAAUGACAAAAAGCCUUAUGACUUAACGCAUCUGCUACUACAUUAGCCUUGCCUAGGUGAUAGUGAAUCUCUAAUUCAUAAUCCUUGAUCAGCUCAAGCCACCUCCUUUGUCUCAUAUUAAGCUCAGACUGGGUAAAUAUAUACUUUAAGAUCUUAUGAUCUGUAUAAAUGUGACAGAUAUUUCCUAGCAGAUAAUGACGCCAUAUUUUUAGGGCAUGAACCACCGCAGCUAACUCUAGGUCAUGAGUUGGAUAAUGUUCCUCAUGCCGGCGCAACUGCCUUGAAACAUAAGCUAUUACUCGGGCCUCUUGCAUUAGAACACAGCCGAGACCACUGCCUGAUGCGUCACAAUACACAUCAAAGGGCUUUUCAAUAUCUGGUUGAGCCAAUACCGGAGCAAUGGUUAGUAAUAUCUUUAACUGCUCAAAGGCUUCAUUACACUUUGAAGACCAAUUAAAUUUAGUAUCAUUCUUCAAUAAACUUGUGAUUGGUUUCACAAGCUUGGAAAAAUCUGGUAUAAAUCGGCGGUAAUAACCAGCCAGUCCAAGGAAACUUCGAACUUGAUGUACAGUGGUUGGGGGUUUCCACUCCAAAAUAUCCUUGACUUUGCUGGGAUCCACCGCAAUCCCCUUAGCAGAUAAUACAUGUCCCAGAAAUUGAAUCUCCUCCAUCCAGAAUGCGCACUUACUGAACUUAGCAUAUAAUUGGUGUUCCCUUAAGCGCGUUAAUACGAUCCGCAAGUGCUGAGCAUGCUCCUCUUCAUUCUUGGAGUAUAUUAAGAUAUCGUCAAUGAAUACCACCACAAAUUUGUCCAACUCGGGCAUAAAUACCGAGUUCAUCAGAUAUGUAAAGUGGGCAGGAACAUUUGUUAGUCCGAAAGACAUAACCAGAUAUUCAAAUAACCCAUACCGCGUGGUGAAUGCGGUCUUUGGUAUAUCUUCAGGUCGGAUACGGGUCUGAUGAUAACCCGACCUGAUGUCAAUCUUGGAGAAUACCCAAGCUCCGGUAAGUUGAUCAAAUAGAAUGUCAAUCCGGGGAAGAGGGUACUUAUUCUUGAUGGUGACCUCAUUAAGGGGUCUAUAAUCCACGCACAUCUGCAGUGUUUAGUCCUUCUUCUUGACAAAGAUGACUGGACAACCCCAAGGUGAAGAACUUGGUCGGAUAAAUCCUUUUUCAAGUAGAUCUUGUAAUUGGGUCUUGAGUUCUACCAGUUCAUUUGGAGGCAUUCGGUAUGAUCUUCUAGAAAUGGGAGCCGUACCAGGCUUCAACUCAAUCACAAAUUCUACAUCUCUUUCUGGAGGCAAUCCCGACAGAUCUUCUGGAAAGACGUCUGGGAACUCACAUACUACCGGAAUAUCUUGGAUCUCCGGUAUGAUGGCUUCAUAUAUUCUACCAGUUGGUUUAGCUGAAAUGGCUAUGGGAUGGACAAAAGAAUCUCUUCUUGGCCAUAACUCAACCUGAUGGUUCUCAGAUCAGUGUUGAGGAUUGCUUUAUGUUGGGCUAACCAAUUCAUGCCCAAAAUUACAUCUAUGUCUUGGCCUUUUAGAACAAUCAUGUUUGUUGGAAAGUCCCAUUCAACCAAUGUUACAGGCACUUGGUAAGCCACUUCUUUAGUAAAUAUUUGUCCCCCAGGCGAAUGAAUAGUAAACCCUUCCCUUGAUUCAGUAUAUGGAAUGCAAUGUUUUUCCACAAACUUCUUGCUUAUGAAAGUAUGCGAAGCACCAGAAUCAAAGAGAAUAACUGCGGGGUGAUUGGCCACUAGAAACGUACCCAUCAUAACCAGUUCGCCUUCCGGUGUUGUGGCCACUUGAGUAUAAUAAAUCAGUCCUGUUUUCCUUGUAUUUUUGCCCGCGGUAUUGUUUGCUGCAUUUCCCUUGGCUUGAGAGGAACUCCCGGAACUCUGCUGAUUAUUGGAUCGAUUCUGCUUCGGGUAUGGACAGUCCUUAAUAAAAUGUCCGAACUUUCCACAAUUAAAGCAGCCUGUUGAAGAGCUUGGGAGAGCGAGGAAACAAGUGCCAGGGGCACCCGGCUGAUUUGUAGCGGUGGGGGCAGCGGUAGGACAGAUAAAAACCGGUUGCUUGAAAGGGUAGGAGGGUGGGCGCGAUGAAGAACGAUUCUGAUUAGAAGGUCGGAUUACCAACCUUUGUCUUUUCUCAGACCCCUGAUUGGGCCUGUCGCCUCCAUUGCCCUUUAAUUUUCUGGAGCCUGCAUAUUUAGCCUCAACUGCCAGCGCUGUGCUGACAACCCUUCCAUAAGAAAGAUCAAUGCAGGUGGCCAUCUUUCGUUGCAUUCGAUCAUUCAGGCCUCUCAUGAAGCAAUUUCUCUUCUUUAAAUCCGUGUUGACUUGAUCGAUUGCGUAUUGGGACAAGUGGUUGAAUUUAUUGAGAUACUGAGUGACAGUAUCCUCGCCUUGCUUGAGCUUCAUAAACUCCUCCUGCUUCAUAUGGAGGACCCCUUCAGGUCUAUAGUGUUCCCGGAAAGCCAACUUGAACUCGUCCCAUGUAAUUUGAUGACCGGCCGGCUGAACGGCAACAUAAUUUCCCCACCAUGUACUGGCAAGGCCUCGCAAUUGUUGUGCUGCAAACAAGGGCUUUUGAGUCUUCGUACAUCGGAGAAGCCUGAACUUCUGUUCAAUAACACGGAUCCACUCAUCCGCUUCCAGAGGAUCUUCCACCUUGACAAACAAUGGGGGACGUGUCUCUGAGAAAUCCAGAUAGGAUGUUUCACGGGGUCCUUGCGGAUACGCUCGCCCGCCCUGUUGUUGCAUUUGUUGCCCUGCCAUUUCCCGCAGGAAACUGGUGUUGUCAGAUGUGGCAUUAACUAAGGCUGCGAUGGCCUCAGCUAAUGUUGGAGGUACUGGGGGUGGAUUCGGGGUUGCUUCCCUCCCACGGGAGGUUCCUGCCCCAUCCUGUGCGCGAGUCUUAGAUGGCAUCUGAGACAAAGAACAUUUGAAGAAACAUGAUAUGCCAAAACAAACCAUCAUUUCACAUUACUUAAAAAGGGUAAUGUUACAGACUCGUAUUUACAAUAGGAUUACAUUACCUAUUACACAUUAUUACUACUUCUAUACUAUACUACUCUAGCUUCUUGUCGCUUUUGGUAGCCUCGCUGUCAGGGGUAGGAGACCAUUGGUCGACCAAAUUCAUUGAAGGAGGGGGCCUAAAAAGCUCCAGUUCUCCUCCAAGGGCUUCUCCUGCUGCUCUAGAUGGUCUAGCUCCCAUCUCGACAGGAUCCGCGGGGACGUUAGGGUGCAGUUGUGAAUACAACACAUAAACUUCUUCAUGUAGUGUAUUACAAUAAACCUGCAAGUUAUCCACGACUGAGCUAAACUCUUCCACGCGGGCUCGAGCUCUAGCUUCCUUUGCCCAAGCUAGUGAACGAGAGUUCACAGCCCAGUCGAGCGCUAGAUCUCGUUCCGCUAGUUGGUCUUGCAGGUGGCGGAUGUCUGUUUUUAAUUCGUUUAUUCUUUCACCAUCCACGACCCAUAUAUCAUUCCUGUGACGGAGUUCUGAUCGAAGCUGAUCAACUUGGGCUUCCAGAUCCCCGAUUGGAUCGUUACUACCACUGCUACUGUCUUCAUGUCUCGGGGCAAGUUGAUGACGGGGUACGCCAAACGGCCUAGUAGACUUGCGCGCGGUCUUUCUCGUGCACGGCGGCAAUAUCUCCAUGAGGGGAAAAUCUUAUUAGCAUGAUGCAUGUAUAAUUACAGAAUCAACCUUAGUUGAUUCACACCUUCUAUACAUUGCACUCUACUAUCUGGUCGUUAACAUAAGUAUCUCAGAAGGGAAUUGGAUAAGAAGAAAAGAAAUUUUCUAGAUAAGUCUUUGAAAAUUCUUUUUGAAAAUGUCUCAUAAUAUCUGCAGAGAUGGGCUUCGCUCCGAUACCAGCUGUGACAGAACCUCCCAAGUCACUAGGCCCACCUACAGUUGUCCUUGUCCAACGGACAUCAGACAAUCCUGCAGGUGCACCUGAUCACUUGACAAGUUCAGUAUCUGAAUUCCUUACCUUCCCAAGAGCAUUUUACCUGUCACGCAGACAUUACAAUUCAUCGGAGAUAUGGAAAUGCGGAAGCAGUUACAAUAACUUACUUUUAUUGAAAAGUAAGACAGGGUUAAAUAUUUACAGAGCAGAACAUAAUAUAUGAGUGCUGAGUAUUAUUAUUACAAACCAUGGGAGGCAAAAACUCCUCCCGAAUAAGCAGUAAAAAGUUUUUAACGGAGGGCCUUCCCUCCCGCAGCUUUAGUCUUGGUUUUCUUCUUUGGGUACCACCUUUGAACAGAAGCAACAAAAGUUCGUUGCUUCUUCACCUAAAACAACAUGGGACAAAGCCCUGAGUACAAAGUGUACUUUAGCAAGACUUACCCAACAAAGUAAAAGACUCUCAAGGAUAUGUUGGCUUUAAGGGAGUCAAGGUAAGGCUUAUCAAUAAUCAAUGACUCUAUGUGCAGAAAUGCUUACUAAAAGUGGAUCCUUAAAAAUCCAAUUUUAAUUGUCAGAUUAAGUAAGAUUACCUACAUCUAGAGUUCUCUACCCUAGUUCAAUCACUUGACCUGCACUAGCCAAUUUCUUAACAACCCUUCAACUUUACUGGAAUGCUACGUGUAAGUCAGUGACCAAGUCUUCAUAUCCGCGAAGUUACGAUGAUCCGAAUCGAUUAUACUCAGCUGAGGAUCUCCAAUCAUACGACAUAUGUAGCACUUAACCCUUGCAUAUGUCAACUCGCCACCGGGGUUCUUAAGACCAGAUCAGGUUCACGCCAAUCGAGAGCACAGAUACACCACCGUCCAGCCUCUUGCCAUGGAGGGUACACGCUACUCUCGCCAUAUCUCCACGCCCAUUGCGUGUUAUCUUAUUCUAGUAUUAGUCUGCCCGAGGCAAAGCUUAACCAUGACGAGGCAUGUGACCAGUUAAAGGGUCCUCGGUCAGCAGGCCUACAUCGAGACGGUCCUUAAUCGACUCAGACGGAGACACUACACCGAGACUCUCUUAUCGUACAAGUCACCCGCCCGGUCUCAGCUUUAUCAUUCCAAACCCAAACUUUGGUACCUGGCAGAGGUACAUCUUUUCCGAUGUUGAACCCAUCAUGGCCAUGAUGGAUCCACCAUCAAGUUUUUAUUUUCGAAAACAUCCCUCCCACUUUGCAGCAUCAUCUUUUGUGAAAACAAAACAUUUUUUCUAAAGCAAAGCUAAGCAUAAGAAAAACCUUUUGUAAAAUAGGGAUUUGAGGAGAAGUAAUCCAAUCCAAGGAAAGAAAUGCAGGAAUUGGUUUAGCACACAACUCCUAUCACCCAAUGCAUCAAGCAAGUGAGAAAGAUUUUAAAAGUAACAAGGAGGUGGCAAAUGCACCGGGGCUUGCCUUGUGUUACUGGUGAAUCAGGCUCUGUUCCGCAGAUAUCAAAAUACAAAUGGUUGCCUACCUGAUGUUCCUCAGGUGGUGGUGGUGAUGAAGUCCUUAUCUCUUCAACCUCUACUUCCUCUUCGUUUUCUAAAUAUAGCCAAGUAUAAUAAUGAAUGCUCAUGUAGUGCUCAUGAAGAUGCAAAGACAAUAAAAAUUUAUUAUCUAAGGUCUUGAAUACAACUUUCCUUCACGGAUCUCCGAGAACUUAGGGUUUCCGGACUCAAUAGUGAAGCUCAUAGGGCAGGGGCUAGGGUUUUGGGUUCUAAGUAUCAAACAUGGUCUAAAUCAUUCCAAACUCUACCCAAGGCUUCUAAAUAUUAUUUAGAGAUUACCCUAAAAAUUUAGUGAAUUUUGUAUUUAUUAUUCAUUCUCUAAAAAUCCAGAAGCAUGGUUUUUGGCUGUUUUAAAUACUCUAUAAUUUCCUAUAUGGACUCAAAAUCAUGAAACUAUUUUUAUUAAAUACUAUAGGAAAUUAGAAACCCAGCAAAAUUGGUUUGGUAUUUUUAGGAUUUUUCUACAAUUUUCUAGAAUUUCUUUAGCUCUGGCAGAAAAAGAAAAAGGAAAGCUAUGAACAGUAUUGGACCGAAAGCGGCCCAAGUCAACCCACUACAGGAAGAAAGCGCCCACGCGCGCGCCCGUACUUCCAGUCUUGCAGAACCCCCCCCCCCCUCGGUUUGAAUAACUACGGAAGAAACCCGCGCACUAUUUAACUGAGGGACUGACGCUUUGCGAAAAGGCCCUCUCCUUUCUAUCUCUUCACAGCUUACAAUCCCCAACGACGAACGGCGCUGGGCCGCACUCUGACGAUCUUAUACCGGCGAAAUUACUUACGGACUGACGCCCUACUUUGGCAGAAACCAAAUUCAAGACCCGCCGAUCAUUUCCCCUCACUCAAUUUCACGACUACGACUCUAAAUCAUCCUGUCCACGGAGACAACGCGGACAAAGGAUGAACACGGGCGUUCACGGUAAUCCAGGGUGGUCUAGUUCAAUCCAAGGGGUCGAACAGCAUUAGGGGGUCUUAAGAAGACUAGAACAAAUGUCCAAGGAGCUUGAACUAACCUGGAGCAAGCUGACCACGAUGAGGUCUCUUUCGCGGUGGCGGAAACACGGAUUGGGGAAACUGAGCAAUUCACGGGCGUUAGUGGACAAUUGAAGACAAGACUUGGCGGCUUAGAUGCGUGAUUACCCUGCGGAGCUCACAACAUGCUCAAUUUAUAGCAAGCAAGAGCGGUGGCCGAUGAAUUUGUAUUGAGACGCGCGGCGGUCGGAGGAAUGGGAGGUCACUGGCGCAGUGGAUUCGUGGAGAAUACAGUGGCGGGCUCCCCGGCGAUGAUCGAAUGGCUUAAGCGAGUCACGGCGAUGUGGUAAAAGUGCCCAGGCAUGUGGUGCAAGGCCAUGAAGCGGUUGUCUCCGGCGAACACAUCCGAAGGAUCCGUGACCAGCUCAGUACGGUGGUCGGAGUAAUUUAGUGGCCGGAGUAUAUCCACGGCGAUGAUAUUUACUCAACCCCAAGCACUAUCCAACCGAUCCGAGCACGAAUCAUGGCGGCGAAAGCACGAAUCCGCGCGUGGCUCGUCGGCGGCGAGGGACAGAGCUGGCGACCUGAUCGGGACACUGUACCAUCGGAACUGCGAUUCAGAGCUCCUAACAGCCCAACUUGUAGCGUCCAGAACACAAAUUUCUAUAUAAGAACUUGCUAAUUCACCAGUAGUAAACUUGCAGCCAUUCAUACCAGCUACAAUUUUGUUAUAGCAACAACCACCAAACGAGCAACAGAUCUAGCUCAAAAUGGCUCUCAAACCUAGUUCUAGGCCAUUGUCAGUCUGAUUUCAGACCUAAGACAGCCUGACAGGUCAACUUCGAGUCAAAUUUUCUCCAAAUUUCUUAUGUAACCCAAGCAUAAUCUCUGUAGCAAAGUUACUCUCCUUACAUAGCUCUACCAAUUUGAUGUACUGACCUAGGGCAAACUCCUCCUAAUUUGGAAGUUACAAAGCUUCAAAGUUGAGCCAAUUCUCUGAAUUUCAGACUUAAUCCCAAUAAAGCUCAAAUGUGGCUUUUUGCAAAUAGACCCAAACUUAGGGUUUAAGUUACAAAUCUGCAAACAUGUGAACCAUAUGAGUUAAUAUACCCUAUUUUCAUGGUUUUUGCACUUUAGUCCAAGAGUGUGCACAUUUUGCAAAUAACCCCUUAGGUUUUAGUCUAGGGUUUUCCAGGGUUCUCUUUAGGGUUUUUGGUGCUUCUAGGGUUUGAAUACCAUGUAUGUCUAUUCAUGGUGACAUUUUAUGACUACUUCAAUUGAGUUUUGAAGUUUUCUCCUAUUUAAGCUUUGUUUGCUCUAUUAGGCCCAAUCUAGGGUUAGGUACCCUACUCUAGGGUUUUAUCUACAAAAUGUCAUAUCAAUACAACUUGUUUGAAAUUUUUGGCCUAGUGAAUGCACUCUAGGUGUGACAAACACAUGAUAUGCCCACGCUUAUGAUGUUAUGCUCAAGUUUUAGUAACAGUAACACCAAGGGUGUUACAAAAGCGAUCACCCAGGGUCAGGGGAGCAGUAGUGUUCGUUCUCGCUAUGUUCCACCCCAGGGUACACCGGCUCGUACUGGAGGAGGUCAGCGUCUAGCUCGGUUUGCACCACAAGGGACUCCACAGACUCCAUAGACUCAUCAGGCUGCCCCCACUGGCACCCCGGCGAGAUUCACAGGAAAUGUGUAGGCACCACAUGCUACAAGUGUGGUUAGGUUGGGUAUUAUGCCAAUGUUUGCCCACAGAGGAUUGCUAGUACCCCCAUCCAAAACAAGCAGCAUGCUCCAAGUUCUGGCAAGGGAUUCAGCAUUGCCAGUGUUAAUCAAGUCAGUGCUGAUGCUACCGCAGACGGAGCUAACAUCGCGAUUGGUAUGUUUUAUAUUAAUGCAAUUCUUGUAGCAAUACUAUUUGAUUCUGGUGCUACACAUUCAUUAAUUUCUGCUGAUAUGCCAACACAAAUGAGUUAACACUACAAAAUAUGCAAAAGCCACUAGUAGUAAUUACCCCUAAAGGGCCUGUCGAAGCAAAUUAUAUGACCAACAGAUUAACCUUGACAAUUAUGGGAAGAGAAUUCUGGGCUACCCCUAUAGUAUUAGAAGAAAGCAAUAUAGACCUGACCCUUGGAAUGUCAUGGUUAAGGAAGGCCAAAGCAGUUAUACAUUGUGCUAGGGGAACGGUAGAACUCACCAGCUCUAAAGGAGAAAGAUUUGAGGUUGAGAUUACCAUGACUGCCUUUACCAGUGUAACACCCUAAAGUUCAAUCCUAUGAAAAUGAGGAAAAUUCUCUAGGGGUUUUAAAUCAAAACACCUUUCCUUGAGAAUAUUCAUAAUUUCAAAGUUACUACUCCCAAAAUUAAUAUAAUUUUUUUAGACUAAAAAAAAGAUACCUAGAUAAACUAAAUUAUUCUUGGAGUGAAAUUAGAAGAAUUAUGAUUAAACUAUAUCUUAAUAUAUAAUCUACAAUAUAAAUUAUAUUUCCCUAAAACAAAUUCAUGAGGAACUAUUCUCUAUUUCAUAAUUAGGAUCAUGUAUAAAAGAACUAAAAUAAAACAAGUAUAUAAAAUAUAUAUAAAUAUAUAUAUAUAUAUAGUCUUGCAUUCAUGCUAGAGUUUUAUUUGUGCAUCUAAAGGUAAAAGUUUGGAAUUCAAACUUGAAAUUGAUUUGAAUUUAAAAUAGAAAUUGGAAAAUCAAAAGAAAAGAAAACCUAAUCUAUUGGUCAAAUUGGAAUAUUCCUCCCAUAAUCUAUACAAUUAUAAAUACUAUUCCAAAUCCCCAAGUAACUUAUUUUAUAAAAUAUAUUACCCUCUCUCAAAAAUAAGUAACCAACAAAUAAUCAUUUUGAAGUAAUUAUUCUGAUCACGCAUUCAAAAAAUGAUAUUUCCCUAAAAUGAAUAAUAUGAGUUACUAUUUAUUAUUUGAUUUAGAGCAUUUAAUUAAAGGAAUAUAAUAACAAUAAUAAAAGGGGGUAAAUAGAUAACCAAAUAUAUUUUAUUGCAUUUGUUUGACAUAAAUCUGGUUUGAAAGCUAAACACGAUUUUGAAUUUGAAUAUCUAAAAAACAAAAUAAAAUAGAAAACGGGAAAAAAGAAAACGGGAAAAAACUUAUCUAGGCUGCGACCCUCAUUUCUGGCCCAAUCUCCCUUCUGAUCCGCUCAACCCAUCUGCCGCAGCACCGUGUGACCGGUGGGGCCCGUGUACAGGGUCAUUGUCUUCUCCAAAGUCUGCGGCGCUCUCUCCUCUGUGCCGGUGGCGGAUUCGCCGAGAACCGCGGACCUAGGCUCGGUUGUUCCCAGCCGACUUGGGGUAUAUAAUCGACCCCCACCCCCCUUCUUGCCUCCUCAUUGUGCCAAUGUCCAUAUCUCUGAGCACCUUGUCGCCAUGAGCAACGAAGUGAUGGGCUGAUGGCCACCGCAACAGACCCAAUGGAGGUUGGCAUUUGGGUCGGAAUGUUGGUCGGGGAACUUCACAGUGUCGCAAGGAUGAUGUGCGCACCCUCACCUGGUGGAAUCAGUGGCUGGAACAAGCGAAUUUCCUCAUCGUUGUUGAUACUCCGCCACAGACGACACUUCACGGUGGCCAGCCAGCUCGGACCUCGUCGCCGGUAAGUAUAUUGAUCCAAUGGGUUUGCUCGAUGCUCUACACCGUCUAGCAAUCGUCAUACUCGGUUGGGGGCCUGUGUGUGGGCCGCACGCUUCGCGCCGGCGACGUCGCCGCCAUGGGAGUCUGGUCACCACCGCCCGGUGAAGCCGUGGGAGGGAGAAAGCCCCUGCACCGUCCAUCCAUACAUGGGUGGCCACGAUUAGAUCCUGUGCAUACCCCUUUGCGCUUUAAAUCGAGACCACCAAUCUAGAAAUCGAAGGCUCCGGUCAUAUGAUGGUGUGGGUCGCUGCGGUUCGUUGAUCACCGAUCCAAUGGCCAUCAUCGAAUAUCGGGAUAGUUAUUGGUCGAUCUAAUCUCAGCCACAGAACUCCGAUCCUACGGCUCUGUGCGCACGAUACCCCUUCGCCGAGGAAUUUUGCAAUAGUGCCACUGUCCUUUAUAGAAAACAACCCGCGGUCCAUACAAGUUCAAAAACCCCUUCAUAUCAGUCCUAGAAUUUAUAGAACGCACCCCGAGCUUUCAGGAAUUAGUACCCGCAGCCCAGGUGUUGACUAAAAGGGAUAAAAUAAUUCAGAAAAUGAUUUUUAGUUUAAAAUAAUUCAUGAAACUGUUUAAUUAAUAUUUAAUUCAUUUUAACUCCAAAUUAGUUCAUUUCAGUUGCAUUAGACUCAUAAAUUAUCAUCCAGUAACUUUAUUUUGUUAUGAAAUUGGUAUGAAAAAUUAUGCACUCAGCUCCUUUUAAUCCAACACUUAAAACUUCGGAAAUCCAUAACUUCUUCGUUUUAAUUCUGAUUUGAUCCGUUCAAGUCACGCUAGCUUCGUAUGAAUAUUUACUAUGCAGUAACGGCAUUAAUUAUACCAUAUCGCAUAAUUUUAUAGUUAGAUAUUUAUUUAACCUAUGUCUACUAGAUUAAUUCUUCUAAAUCAAAGCUAACCUGUUGUCACACCCGGUUCUAGGGGCAAAACCGAAUGCAUAGCAUAUGUGGGCUAGGAUGCAUAGCACAAGUGUAAUAUAUCAAAAGACAAUGCUAUAAAGGUGUAAAGAGAGUAGUGUAACUUUAUUACAUCAUCUGGAUCAUUGUAUCUCAACAAGUAUCAUAAUCAAAGUACGGCGGAAUUAAACAUGGACACUCUUCCACAGGAAGGUGACUGGCACAUCGUUAGACUCAAAACUCAUCAACGUCAUCACCGAAGUCUUUGUCAUCACCCUCUGAUCAAAAUAUUAGCAAGGGUGAGCUCACUUAUGGUCGGGGCUCAGCAAGUGGGGGAAAAUUAAUGCAAGUUAACAAGGUAGGCUAUGGAUAAGCGGUAAGCAUUUUAGUUGGUCAAUAUUUUAUUAGCAACACAUGUCUUACUAAUAAGUGUGUAUCCCAAAUAUCCCAAUUAAUCAAGGGUAUAAGAUUAUAUCAAAAGCACUUAAGUGAAAUUACUUAAGCAAACCAUUGUUAGAUCCUCAUAUCACGAUUUAUUUUCCAUCUUUAAGUUCAAUUAUCAUGUGAUGGUCCAGGUUGCUCUUAACCGUGAGCACAACUGACAUAUCAGUUUUACACUCUGCAUAUGUAAAUCACCAAGUUAGUGAAUGCAUAGCAUAUGUGGGUCAGGAUCCAUUUUCCACACAUAUGUUGACGUCACAAGUGUAAUAUAUCAAAAGACAAUGCAAUAAAGGCGUAAAGAGAGUAGAGUAACCUUAUUACAUCAUCUGGAUCAUUGUAUCUUAACAAGUAUCAUAAUCAAAGUACGACGGAAUUAAACAUGGACACUCUUCCACAGGAAGGUGACUAGCGCAUCGUUAGACUCAAAACUCAUCAACGUCAUCACCCUCUGAUCAAAAUAUUAGCAAGGGUGACCUCACUUAUGGUCGGGGCUCAGCAAGUGGGGAAAAAUUAAUGCAAGUUUACAAGGUAGGCUAUGGAUAAGCGGUAAGCAUUUUAGUUGGUCAAUAUUUUAUUAGCAACACCUGUCUUACUAAUAAGUGUGUAUCCCAAAUAUCCCAAUUAAUCAAGCGUAUAUUUUAGUUGGUCAAUAUUUUAGAUGGUUUUGUAGUGUUACACCUGUCCAUGAUUAUAUCAAAAGUACUUAAGUGAAAUUACUUAAGCAAACCACUGUUAGAUCCUCAUAUCACGAUUUAUUUUCCAUCUAUAAGUUCAAUUCAUGUGAGGGUCCAGGUUGCUCUUAACCGUGAGCACGACUGACAUAUCAGAUUUACACUCUGCAGAGGUGGUACAACUUUACCCACAAGCCAUGUAUCCCAUCUAGCCUGGGUUGAUCGGACCCAUAAACACUGCCGAGGUGAAUGGCUAGGGAUCCAUUAUGACGAUUUCACAAAAUAUCCUUAGUACAAAGCCACCCACUAAGGUUUCCAUGUCAGUAUUGACGGCCCUCUAGGUGAGGUAACUUAGCCAAGACUACCACCCAUGUUAACAUGAGCUGCCACCAAACCACUGCCGCCCCCUCUUGCCCAUCUUUCAGGUAGGGUUGCUAAGCACUAAGUCUAUAGGGCUAAUUACCAAACCCAGAGCCAUUAUAGCACUUGUGGUUGCACUGUUAUCCUGGGUGGUCACUCUAUGUUCCAUUUAACACAAAAUGUUCUUGUUUAACCAUCGGGUUAACAACAUAAUAAAACUUCAUUUCCAGAACAUAGUAUCAUUAAAAGAGUGACAUCAUAUUCAUCAAGUUGAGCAAUAGCAAAAAUUGCUUAGCAAAGCAUUUAUCCCAGGGUAAUUCAAGGAAUAGGGUUGGUAAUUCUAGGAAAUCCUUAUUUAGGCAAAUCCCAUCAAAUUAUGCAAUAUCCGAAAAGUAAACAUUAUUAUAUGCAUUAUUUCUAAAAUCACCUAACAUUAAUAUUCUAAGAAUUAAUGUAAAUUACUAAUUUUGGACUUUAGUAACAUACUCAUCGUUAUUAUGACAUAAAUAGAUAUUUUACUAAUUCUAAGUAAUUAAGUGCUAUACAUAUGAAUACAUUUACAAUGACUAGUAAAACCUAUAUUUUAAUCUGACCGAAAAUACAUGGCGUAGUGUUUCUUCUACUUUCUUAUAUUAAUAAAAUUAUACUUAAACCACUACUAGCAAAUAUCGUUCCAUGUGCUAAAGCGAAGUUAAUCGUAAACGUUUCUAGUAUGUAAAUCACCAAGUUAGUGAAUAGUGACCUUAAUUAUUUUUGUAAUGUAAAAUAAUACAUUUGUCCAAAAUAUUGUUGCAGGGCUUGUUUACGAUUUCACGUAUGCGUCAGAGUCUCUUUUCGAUAAUUUCUAAAUUGAAAAUCUUGGAAUUAAGUUUAUUUACACGCAGGAGCUAAAAUGAAAAAUGUGCUUCUUCUUCCUUGAGCUAGAGCUCACAUGCGGGAAUGGGGCUCGACGGGGGAAGGGGAUCGGCCGGGCAGGGGAGGAGCAGGGGCUCGGUCGAGGUCAUGGCUUGGGGACGGGCGUGGACGACGAGACUCAACGGCGGGGCUCGACAGCAAAUCUUCGGCGACGAUGAACGACGGACGGUUCGGCGGGGUGGCGCGGUCAUGGGUGAGGGAAAUCUUGAGAGAGAGAGAGCUCGGGGAGGGAGAGAGGGAGAGCUCGGGGCUUUUAUAGAGCGAGAGAGGUAGAGGAGAGGGCGCCAGGGGGAAUGGCCGGCCAUGGCCAUUAACGACUAUCAAUGGCGUGGUUAAUGGGGGAGAAGAAGUUGGGGAGGGAGAAGAGGAAACAGCCGCCGGUUUCCGGCUUCGGGGGAGGCGGACGGGAGCGGACCAGGGCACGGGGCGUCGAGCGUGGGGCGUGGUCGGCGCGGGAGGGAGGAAGGAGAGGAGAGGCCAUGACGGGCCCCACCGGUCGGUGAGAGGGAGGAGGGGGGAAAGGGGCGCGGCUGAUGGGCCUCUUAGAGCAUCUCCAAUAUUUAUGUAAAUUUAGCACCCUAAAUUACAGAUUUAAGAAGUUGCUAAAUCACUUUAAGGAGUAGAAAAAUGUGUGUGCUCCAACAGUUCUCUAUUUACUGGUUGCUAAUUUUUAAAAUUAUCCAUAUCAACAAAAAAGUGAGUGAGCAUUCUUUCUAUUUUUAGUUGAGCUAGCACAUCAACAACCUUCCAUAAUGUCUUGAAAGGUCGAAGUUGUCGAUGAAAAACUAGAAGGUCGCGGCGACGGCAUGAAGACAACACAUGGCAUUGAAGAUAGAUUUGUGGUCAAUGGGACGGUGGGACGACACAAAACGGUAGCCGAAAUAUGGUUUUCGCGAUGGAUUUAGAACCAACAUUGAUUUAGGGAGUCCCAACGAGGUUCGUAAAUGUAGGGAUGAAAUUGGGUUUUGUAGGGAGUCUGUAAAUUUAAGGAUCUGCUUUACAUAACCAUUGGAGAAGAGUUUUCCCCGAAAACUCCUUAAAUUCAUAUUUAAGGAGUUGUUUACAUAACUAUUGGAGAUGCUCUAAUGGGCCAAAUGGCGGGUUAGGGUUUAGGGUUUUCCUUUUUUUCUCUUUUUAUUUUGUUUUCUUUUCUAUUUAAAAAUAUAAAUAAAUAUAUUUUUAAUAAUUCUAAAAAUCAUAAUAAUUAUACCAAAAUUAUUUAUGACAAAAAUAUUUAUUUUUGGACUAUUAUUUCUAUAUUAAUUAAUUGGAUUUCCAAUAUAAAAGAAAUUCUAGUAAACAUCCAUAAAUCAAAUAUGAGAAAACAAAAUUAUUCUAAAUGCAAAUAAAAAUAAAACACUUGAAAGAAAAAUUCAUUACCAUAAUUACCACUAAUAAACUAAAUGCAUUAUUUUUAGUUGAUGGUUUUGUAGUGUUACAAACCUACCCCCCUUAAAAGAAUCUUGUCCUCGAGAUUAAGGAACUUCUGGGAAUAAAUGGGGGAAUUCUGCUCUGAGUUCAUCUUCUCUUUCCCAAGUGGCCUCAUCUUCCGAAUGAUGACUCCACUGAACUUUACACAUAUUGAUAACUUUACUCCAUGUAAUUCUGCGAGAUGUUUCCAAAAUUUUGAUAGGAUACUCCGAAUAAGUCAAAUCCUCCAUAACAUUGAGUUCUUCCAUAGGUAAUUGUUCUUUCGGUACUCUUAAGCAUUUCUUAAGUUGUGACACAUGAAAUACGUCAUGCACAUCCGACAAACUAUCGGGUAGCUCUAACUGGUACGCUACUUCAACUUUUCUUUCCAAUAUUUUGAAUGGGCCAAUGUAGCGAGGAGAUAGUUUACUCUUAACCUUAAAUCUUUUCAUGCCUCUCAUCGGUGAAACUUUAAGGUAUACGAAGUCUCCUACUUCAAAUAUCAACUCUCUUCUUCUAUAGUCAGCAUAGAUUUUCUGUCUCGACUGUGCUGUUUUCAAAUUCUCUAUGAUAAUCUGUACUUGCUUUUCUGCUUCUUGGAGAAUUUCUGGGCCAAAUACUUGACUUUCUCCGGUCUGAUUCCAAUAAAGCGGUGUUCUACACUUUCGUCCAUAAAGUGCUUCAAACGGUGCCAUUUUUAAACUUGCUUGGUAACUAUUGUUACACGAGAAUUCUGCAUAAGGAAAACUUUUAUCCCAGCUUCUUGCAUGCUUUAGAGUGCAAGCUCUUAACAUAUCUUCCAACACUUGAUUUGUUCUUUCAGUUUGCCCAUCCGUUUGCGGAUGAUAAGCUAAGCUGAAGUUUAGCUUGUUAUCCAUGGACUCAUGUAGUCUUUUCCAAAAGCGCGAGGUAAAUUGGGUUCCUUGAUCUGAUACGAUCUUCUUUGGUACUCCAUGCAGACAAACAAUUCUUGACAUGCAUAACUCUGCUAACUGGGCUCCAGAGUAAGUUGUCUUCACAGGUAUAAAGUGUGCCACUUUAGUCAACCUAUCCACUAUAACCCAUAUGGAAUCAUAGCCAUCUCGAGUACGGGGUAGUCCAACUAUGAAAUCCAUACUGAUUUCUUCAUAUUUCCAUUCCGGUACCUUGAGAGGUUGUAGCAAUCUUGAUGGUCUUUGAUGUUCGCUUUAACUUGUUAACACACGUCACAUAGUGCAACAUGAGUAGCCACAUCUCUUUUCAAACCGUACCACCAAUACUUUUCCUUUAGGUCCCGGUACAUCUUAGUACUUCCAGGGUGAAUAGAAUAAGCCGAAUCAUGGGCUUCCCUUAAAAUAAGUUGGCGUAGGUGCUCGAUUUCUGGUACACAGAUUCUCUUUUUAAACCAUAUUGUGCCUUGUUCAUCUUCAGUGAAAUCUGGGGCUUUAUCGAAACUAAUUUGUGCCUUAAUUUCCUUGAUUUUCUCAUCAGACUCUUGUCCUUUAUGAAUUUCUUCUUCCAAAGUAGGUUCAACUUCCAUAACUGUUGCUUCCAUAUUAUUGAGCAUUCCAAGGUUGAGUUGUUCCAUUUCCCAGCAUAAUUCCUAUGACAUCAAAUGAGUAGUGAUGUUGUUCGCUUGACCUUUACGGCUAAAAGCAUCUGCCACUACAUUUGCUUUUCCUGGGUGAUAUUGUAUUUCCAAAUCAUAGUCUUUGAUUAACUCAAGCCAUCUUCUCUGUCUUAGACUUUACACUUGUUUUCGAUCAUGUAGUGCCUCCAAAUCUUCAAAGCGUGCACUACGGAAGCUAAUUCCAAAUCAUGUGUAGGAUAAUUCUUUUCAUGGUUCCGUAACUAUCUUGAAGCAUAGGCAAUCACUUUUCCUUCUUGCAUUAACACACAUCCAAGUCCUAGAUGUGAUGCAUCGCAAUACACAUCAAAUCCUUUAUGAAUAUCAGGCAUAAUUAACACUGGUGCAGUGGUUAGCCUUUCCUUUAAUUCCUCGAAACAUUUAUGACAUGCUUCAUCCCACUUAAACUCUUUACCUUUCUCCAACAGUGAAGUAAGGGGUUUUACUAUUUUGGAGAAGCCUUCGAUAAAUCUUCUGUAGUAUCCUGCUAACCCAAGAAAACUCCUGAUCUUGGACACAUCUAUGGGUUGUUUCCAAUUUAGUAUUUCACUUAUUUUACUGGGGUCUACUUUGAUUCCUCCAUUGGUGAUAAUAUGACCUAGGAAAGCAACUUCCUUUAGCCAAAAAUCACACUUCGAAAAUUUUGCAUACAAUUGAUUGUCUCAAAGUUUCUGUAGAACUAAUCUCAGAUGAUCUUCAUGUGCUUCUUCAUUCUGAGAGUAUACCAUUAUGUCGUCGAUGAGUACUACCACAAACUGGUUGAGGUAUUCCAUGAAUACUUUAUUCAUCAAGUUCAUAAAGUAAGCUGGUGCAUUAGUCAGUCCAAAAGACAUGACCAAAAACUCAUACAAUCCAUAUCAUGUAGUGAAAGUUGUUUUAGGUAUAUCUUUAGUCCGUAUCUUCAACUGAUGAUAGCCUGAUCUUAGAUAUAUCUUUGAGAAUAUUGUAGCUCCAGUCAUCUGAUCAAACAGAUCUUCAAUCCGAGGUAACAGGUACUUAUUCUUAAUCAUUACUUCAUUCAAGCUUCUAUAGUCCACACACAUUCUUCUUGAACCAUCUUUCUUGUUCACAAAUAGAACUGGGGCUCCCCAUGGUGAUGAACUGGGGCGAAUAAAACCCUUUUCCAGUAAUUCUUCUAUUUGUUUCUUUAGUUCAAUUAAAUAUUUGACAUCCAUUCGGUAAGCUCUUUUUGAAAUCGGUGCGGUUCCGGGUAAUAGUUCAAUAGAAAACUCUAUAUCACAAUCAGGUGGCAUACCUGGUAAUUCUUCUGGAAAUACGUCUCGGUAUUCACACACUAUUCGGAUGUGCUCCAAAGAUGUCUCUUCCAACUGAUUUACCAUUGCUUCUGUUGUUGCUGGCAUACUGGCAUUGACUUCAAUUCUUUCUCCUUGUGGACUGGUUAAUGUAACCAUUCUUUUGGCACAGGAUAUUACUCCAUCAUACUUGGUCAAGUAGUCUAUUCCAAGUAUCACAUCGAUUCCACUUGACUCCAAAAUUAUCAGCUCUACUAGAAAGCUUAGGCCUCUAAUUCCAAUCUUAGUCUGAGGGCAUGAGUGAGUGGCUCUAAGUUCACCUCCUGGUGAUCGAAUUAAUAGUUUCUUCUUCAAGGGAUAGUUUGGUAUAUCAUGUUUUUCUACAAAUGACUUUGUUACGAAGGAGUGAGAUGCUCCAGAAUCAAAUAAAACUGAUGCAGGUAUGUAGUUAAUAAGAAACAUACCAUACACCACUGUCAAAUGAUUUACUCUUCCUCUACUCUGGUCUACGGAGUCUUGUCUGUGCAGAUCCACGAGCAGGUGUGUUCUGGUCAGUCCUCUGGUUGCUAUUCUUCUUGGGUGUCUGUUGAUUACGCCUUGGGCAGUUGUUGUCAUAGUGGCAAAGUUCGCCACACUUGAAACAUCCAUUAGGUUGAACUAGGGAAGUUGUAUUGUUGUUCUUGGCCGUUGUGUUCACGACGCUUCCUUGACGAUUCUGCUGUUGGACACUAGACCUUUGACCGGUCUGAGUGUUGUUCCUUUGCUGGUUCUGGCAUUGGUUGCUCCUCUAACCUUGUUGUCCAGAGCGCUGUACUUGGUAGUUAUUGUUCCCACUCUGAUUUCCGGAGCGGAACUGAGAACCUUGGGAGUUGUUUUAGCGGGUAUUCCUGUUGGUCUGCCCUUGGUACUUUCUCUUGUGAUCCGACAACUCCUUCCUUUUGCUUUCAAGGCCAAUUGCCUUGUUCAACUAAGUUUGAAAGUUAGGGAAGCUGUGGCUCUGUAAUUGGUAGUUCAAGGGUCCAAUCAAGCCUUCCAAGAAACAUUCUUGGCACUUCUCAUCAGUGUCCACUUCCUCUGGAGCGUAACGUGAAAGCUGGGUGAAGCAAUCAUGGUACUCACUAAUGGACAUGUUUCCUUGAGUGAGGGAAAGGAACUCCUUCUUGAGCUUCAUUAUUCUUGAGGGAAUAUGAUGAGCACGAAAGUUCACUUGGAACUCUUGCCAGGUUAUGGCAUGAGCAUUGGCAUGUGCCACGGUGAAGGCAUCCGACCAAUCGGACGCGGCUCCUUCGAGUCUUCCUGAAGCGUACAAGACCUUCUCUCGGUCAUUGCACUGGGUGAUGUCUAACUUCUUUCCAAUGACCUUAAGCCAGUCAUCAGCAUCCAAAGGGUCUACUGCAUGAGAGAAAGUAGGUGGGUGAUGACUCAUGAAGUCCCGAUGCUUAUCUCUAGCUUGGGGUGCAUGUUGUUGCUGUUGUUGGUACUAUUGGUUCUAUUGAUUUUGCUGAAUCUGCUGCACCGAAGCUGUGAGUCCUUGCAGAAGUUGCAUCUGCGCUGCGAUGAAUUGAUCCAUUGUGGGGUUGGGUGGUGGUGGUGGCAACUGCUGACCACGCUGGUUCUAAUGGUUAUUGUGACCUGAUCGAGUGUUCACCAUCUGGUCGGUUAGAAAAUGCAAUCCCAGGGUAAGUGAAGAGUAGAAAAGAUUCUAGGGGGAAUGGCUUAUUAUUAAUGUUAUAUUUUUAUGCUGUUAUGGCCAUCAUUCCAUAAGACCAUUGCACUCAAGCAAAAAUCCAAAUCAAACAUUGCAAACAACACAAUCACAUGGUUGUUAUUAUUAAUAGUGUAGUAAUAGAAAAGUGUUCUUCGUCUAACGUGAAAACUAACUUAUUACAAUAUAAAUGGAAAAUUCUAUAGCAGCCUGGUGAUGGAUCAUGGUUCUCCAUAGCGGAUCAUCUUGCGGGGAGGGGAUAACGCCAUGGCAGGGACUUGAACUUCAGGGGGAUUCCUUCCAUCAAGCUGAGCUUCCAGGGCUGUGAUCCUUGCAUGUGCAUCCUCCAGCUCCAAGUGUACCCUAGAUAGGUCCAAGGUACCACUAUCUAGGUCGGUGUUAAGACCUGCCACCACACCAGCUAGGGUGUUGAGGCGAUCUUCUCCAGCUCCACCUGGAACAAUGCUGGUCUGGCUUUCUCCACGAAUACACAGAGGAAGAUGCAUGUACUUUGUGUUGUGCAGCUGCUGCCGGUAGGUGUGGCUGAGGGACCACAGAGUUUGCCUAGCAUCAUCACUGACCGAAGCAGCGUAGGUGGAUAGCGGCGUUAGAGACUCAUGUGCUGACAAAGUACUGAACCCUCUAUCACCUGCAUCCAUCACCCUCACAUGAAUGCGAGUGAUGUAGUAGCAAGCUCGAGGAGGCUCGUACACUCGCCUUGUCUCAUACAGGGGUCGGACGUAGGUUCCCAACGCAUGUAGAACAUCCUGCAGCAGGUUAGGGAAGUGCCCUAUCUCGAACAUUGAUGUAUAAUGUUUAGUGAUAGGCCAUAACCCCACGUAGUGGUCCUUCUGUUCAUCGUUGGCUUCCUCGUUGAUGUUUUCCUUAUCUUCUUCUUUCUCAUCAUCUUCAUCAUCAUCAUCAGAGUCAUCCGAGUCGUCGCCUCCGGGAGCAAGGGCUUGGACUGCUGGUGCUGGUGGUGCUGAAGCUGACGAUCCAGCUGCGAAGGCUAGUGAUUCUGCCAACGGGGUGGGCAUAGGCAGAAACUCCUCUGAGCUGUCCUCCAGAAUGACUCCGUUCUCCACCCUAAUGUGAGGGAGAUCCACAGGGAUUUCCUCGACUACCACGGGGUAGACAGGAACUUGCCAUGGCGGAGGACUGUAGUUGGUGUUGAUCCGAGUGGUUUGAAUGGUACAAACCAUCUACGAGAGAAAUUGUCACCUAAGUUCAAUUUUAAAGAGAUAAGGUUAAUAAAAUAAUUUUGUAAGAACAAAAUUAGCAUCUUUUGAACAAACUAGGCUUUCCAUUUCUAACUAGUCUAAUGACCUAGAGUCAGCAUAGCUUUGAUACCACUUCUAUCACACCCGGUUCUGGGGGCAAAACCGAAUGCAUAGCAUAUGUGGGCCAGGAUCCAUUUUCCACACAUAUGUUGACGUACCAAGUGUAAUAUAUCAAAAGAAAAUGCAAUAAAGGCGUAAAGAGAGUAGAGUAACUUUAUUACAUCAUCUGGAUCAUUGUAUCUUAACAAGUAUCAUAAUCAAAGUACGGUGGAAUUAAACAUGGACACUCUUCCACAGGAAGGUGACUGGCGCAUAGUUAGACUCAAAACUCAUCAACGUCAUCAGCGAAGUCUUCGUCAUCACCCUCUGAUCAAAAUAUUAGCAAGGGUGAGCUCACUUAUGGUUGGGGCUCAGCAAGUGGGGGAAAAUUAAUGCAGGUUAACAAGGUAGGCUAUGGAUAAGCGGUAAGCAUUUUAGUUGGUCAAUAUUUUAUUAGCAACACCUGUCUUACUAAUAAGUGUGUAUCCCAAAUAUCCCAAUUAAUCAAGGGUAUAAUAUUAUAUCAAAAGCACUUAAGUGAAAUCACUUAAGAAAACAACUGGUAGAUCCUCAGAUCACAAUUUAUUUUCCAUCUUUAAGUUCAAUUAUCAUGUGAGGGUCCAGGUUGCUCUUAACCGUGAGCACGACUGACAUAUCAGUUUUACACUCUAUAGAGGUGGUACAACUUUACCCACAAGCCAUGUAUCCCAUCUAGCCUGGGUUGAUUGGACCGGUAAACACUGCCGAGGUGAAUGGCCAGGGACCCAUUAUGAGGCUUUCACAAAAUAUCCUUAGUACAAAGUCACCCGCUAAGGUUUCCACGUCAGUAUUGAUGGCCCUCUUGGUGAGGUAACUUAGCCAAGACUACCACCCCAUAUUAACAUGAGCUGCCACCAAACCACUGCCGCCCCCUCUUUCCCAUCUUUCAGGUAGGGUUGCUAAGCACUAAGUCUAUAGAGCAAAUUACCAAAGCCAGAGCCAUUAUAGCAGUCGUGGUUGCACUGUUAUCCUGGGUGGUCACUCCAUGUUCCAUUUAACACAGAAUGUUCUUGUUUAACCAUCGGGUUAACAACAUAACAAAACUUCAUUUUUGGAACAUAGUAUCAUUAAAAGAGUGACAUCAUAUUCAUCAAGUUGAGCAAUAGCAAAAAUUGCUAAGCAAAGCAUUUAUCCUAGGGCAAUUCAAGGAAUAGGGUUGGUAAUUCUAGGAAAUCCUUAUUUAGGCAAAUCCCAUCAAAUUAUGCAAUAUCCGAAAAGUAAACAUUAUUAUAUGCAUUAUUUGGGUAUAAAUAGAAAAUGCAGAAGGAGAAUCCACUUGCCUUGCACGAAAGUGUCAUGUGGGUCGUCCUCGAACGAAUUUGGUUCGUCUACCUCACAGUCAACUUCUAGCGUCGAUUUGCGUAUCGUACAUACAAAAGUAUACGUACGCUAAAUAAAUAAACAUACACCAUUACAUGGGUAAUCAUUCACUAUUACAUAUACUUUCAUACAACACACAAUUAUACUCAUAAAUACGUCUUAAAGCAUAAAUACUUAUUAAUCCACUAUGACUUCUACUUUGAGUUACCAUUGGUGAAAAUAUGAGUAGGUGACUAUGACGCUAGUUUAUCUAGUGUAAUAUAGAUAAAAUAUCUUAACAAACUUUACAGAAAAUAUUUCCUUUAUUACUUAAUAAUAAACUUUUGGGUUUUAUCCUUUUCUUUCUAAAUAGAAAUUUUUACGUAUAGCUAAAAAUGUUUAUUUCUAAAAUAACCUAACAUUAAUAAUCUAAGAAUUAAUGUAAAUUACUAAUUUUGGACUUUAGUAACAUAAUCAUGGUUAUUAUGAUAUAAAUAGAUAUUUUACUAAUUCUAAGUAAUUAAGAGCUACACAUAUGAAUACAUUUAUCAUGACUAGUAAAACCUAUAUUUUAAUCUGACCGAAAAUACGUGGCCUAGUGUUUCUUCUACUUUCUUAUAUUAAUAAAGUUAUAUUUAAUCCACUACUAGCAAAUAUCGUUCCAUGUGCUAAAGCGAAGUUAAUCGUAAACGUUUCUAGUAUGUAAAUCACCAAGUUAGUGAAUAGUGACCUUAUUUAUUUUGAAAUGUAAAAUAAUACAUUUGUCCAAAAUAUUGUUGCAGGGCUUGUUUACGAUUUCACGUAUGCAUCGGGGUCUCUUUUCGAUAAUUUCUAAACUGAAAAUCUCGGAAUUAAGUUCAUUUACACGCAGGGGCUAAAAUGAAAAAUGUGCUUCUUCUACCUUGAGCUAGAGCUCACGCGCGGGAAUGGAGCUCGACGGGGGAAGGGGCUCAGCCGGGCAGGGGAGGAGCAGGGGCUCGAUCGAGGUCAUGCCUUGGGGACGAGCGCGGACGACAAGACUCGACGGCGAGGCUCGACAGCGAAGCUCUAGAGACGACGAACGGCGAACGGUCCGGCGGGGUGGCGCGGUAGCAGGUGAGGGAAAGCUUGAGAGAGAGAGAGAAAGAGAGCUUGGGGAGGGAGAGAGGGAGAGCUCGGGGCUUUUAUAGAGCGCGAGAGGGAGAGGAGAGGGCACCUGGGGGGAACGACCGACCAUGGCCAUUAACGGCCAUCAAUGGCGUGGUUAAUGGGGGAGAAGAAGUGGGGGAGGGGGAAGAGGAAACGGCUGUCGGUUUCCGGCUUUGGGGGAGGCGAACGGGCGCGGACCAGGGCGUGGGGCGUCGAGCGUGGGGCGGGGCGAUGUCGGUGCGGCACGCGGCGCAGCGGCGUGGGAGGGAGGAAGGAGAGGAGAGGCCAUGGCGGGCCCCACCUGUCAGUGAGAGGGAGGAGGGGGAAAAGGGCUUGGCUGAUGGGCCAAAUGGCCGGUUAGGGUUUAGGGUUUUCAUUUUUUUCUUUUUUCUUUUCUUUUCUUUUAUAUUUAAAAAUAUAAAUAAAUAUAUUUUUAAAUAAUUUUAAAAUCAUAAUAAUUAUACCAAAAUUAUUUAUAACUAAAAUAUUUAUUUUUGGGCCAUUAUUUCUAUAUUAAUUAAUUGGAUUUCCAAUAUAAAAGAAAUUCUACUAAAUAUCCAUAAAUCAAAUAUGAGCAAACAAAAUUACUCUAAAUGCAAAUAAAAAUCAAACACUUAAAAUAAAAAUUCAUUACCAUAAUUACCACUAAUAAACUAAAUGCAUUAUUUUUAGUUGAUGGUUUUGUAGUGUUACACCUGUCCAUGAUUAUAAUUUCAUUAAAAUAUGAUCUCUAGUCAAGUUAUAAUUAACAUUAAAGUUGAGUUAAUUAUUUAUAGAAUAAUAUCUCAUAUUAUUUAGACUAACCAAUUUAUAAUAUUGUUCGAUAGUUAAAUCACAGGGAUCUCCCAUUAAUCAUAACUCCUUAACCAUGACUCCGAUCUUAAUGGUUCUCGAACCCGCGAUCUCGUUACGACACGUAGAAUAUUCUUAUGCAGUUUGUUCUUAUGUUUGGUGUAAUGUUAAUUUUGCCUAUACCAUGUUUGUCUAUAUUGCUACGACUAGCAGCGAGGUUACGAGUCACAUGAAGAGCAAGUUGGUACCUGGAAUCUCAAGUCCCAGGCAAGUUGUGCCCUUGAUCACUUCUUUUUACCCAAUCAUGUUCUUAUUAAUUAUAAUGAUCUGCACAUGUUAAUUUUGAUGUGACCCAAUAGGUUACCCUAGUUUGGCUAUCUUUAUACCUUGUUUACCACUGAAUUUUUGGGUAGUACCUGCUAUUGCAUUAUGUGGUUUUGGGUAUGGAGAUACA